GGAGAUAUAGCUCAGUGGUAGAGCGUCUCGUUUGCAUUAGUAAAUCCAAAUCUCGAGGAGGUACCGGGUUCAAUCCAACUCUCGUUCCA